rnacentral:pre_miRNA from 10 species
GUGUGCAUUUGCAGGAACUUGUGAGUCUCCUAUUGAAAAUGAACAGGAGACUGAUGAGUUCCCGGGAACACCCACAA